rnacentral:snRNA from 1 species
UUGUCUUUGGCAGCACAUAUACUUCAAUUGGAAUGAUACAAAGAAGAUUAGUAUGGCCGCUGAGCAAGAAUGAUGCACAAAUUCAUGAAGCGUUUCAUAUCUUU